rnacentral:rRNA from 1 species
AACGUACGCUGGCGGCAUGCCUAACACAUGCAAGUCGAACGCAGUAGCAAUACUGAGUGGCAGACGGGUGAGUAACAUGCGGGAAUCUGCCUUGUGGUUCAGGACAACAUUGGGAAACCGAUGCUAAUACUGGAUAAGCCCUUACGGGGAAAGUUUUAAUGCCAUAAGAUGAGCCCGCAUUUGAUUAGUUAGUUGGUGAGGUAAUGGCUCACCAAGGCAAUGAUCAAUAGCUGAUCUGAGAGGAUGAUCAGCCACACUGGGACUGAGACACGGCCCAGACUCCUACGGGAGGCAGCAGUGGGGAAUCUUGCACAAUGGAGGAAACUCUGAUGCAGCGAUGCCGCGUGAGUGAAGAAGGCCUUUGGGUUGUAAAGCUCUUUUGUAGGGGAAGAUAAUGACUGUAGCCUAAGAAUAAGGUCCGGCUAACUUCGUGCCAGCCGCCGCUGUAA